rnacentral:rRNA from 1 species
AGGAGUAAACCUGAGAAACCCGAAAGGUCGAAGGAUGAAAUUCAUUCGUGUUUCGUUAUUGGCAAAAUUGCAUAUGUUAGACGAUAAAUAAGUCUAAUUAUCUAUAUGAUGAUUUUUGAUUUAUAUGUUGCAACAUAUCUAUUUUUGGAUCUAAUGAUGAACACGUGCAUUUUUCUUCUGGUAGGACGUUGCGAUCCGUUAGAAUUAUUAUCGAUCUAUGAUUUAUAUGGUAUAGUUCAUUGAUACAUAUAUAUUUUUUUAUAUAUGAAAAUAUUAAUGAAGCUUUACAAUCUGAUUGAUUUAUCUGACGGUAGAAUUAUGGUUAAAAGUCGCUAUGAUAUUCUUAGCGUUAGAGGUUGGACAAGUUUAUGAAUUGUGUAAAGGCAUUAUUAUUACUUGUAGUAAUUAUGUUCUCGGUAAUUGAUUUUAUAUUAAUUCUGAGCCGUUUAUUUACUGUUUGUUCAACAUAUCUUUAACAGACUUUAUUAUUUUUUUGAUAAAACCAAUCGGCAACGCUAUAGCUUUGGGUACUUUCAGGACCCGUCUUGAAACACGGACCAAGGAGUCUAGCAUGUUCGCAAGCCAUUGGGAUAUUAAAACCUAUAGGCAUAAUGAAAGUAAAAAUUAUUUCAUCUUGUAUGAAAUGAAGGGAAGAUAAAUAUCGAUUUCGUAUUUUAUUAUAUGAUACGUUAUUUCGCAUUCCCGGGGCGUUUAAAUUUUAUUUAUUUGUUUACAUUUAAAUGAGAUUAUGCGCACCAAGAG